UAUAAUUCUUUCUUUUUCAGUCUUUUUUCAAGCUACAGCAACUGAUCAGGUGCUUCCACAAAUUAUAUGCGUAUUGUUGGCGGACUAGGAACGUGAAUAUUGUGGUUUACUUUUGUGAUGGUGUCAGAAUAAGAUUUCUCAUUGCUUACCCUACUCACGAAGCCGACGACGACUACGAAAAACCACAACAACAACAAUAAAAAAACGAAUAAAUAUUUAAGUUGAGAUGGAUUACUGUAAAUUGUAAUCAACUAUCAGCCAAACAACCGACUGACGACGGUGCGGUAACGGCGGCAGCAGCCAUAUUUAUCCACAAAAUAAAAACACUCACCGUCAUAUCAUCUUGAAUCGAGUUUAUAGCUUAUAGAGAGUGUACUAGAAUUAUAAUAUAUAACCUGCGACGAAGAAUAGUAGACAAAUGGGGGAGGAAUUCAUCAUGGAAUGCAAAAAGACUCACUCGUCACUCGCUCUCAGUCAGUCUCACAAUCGCACAUCACACAUUUUUAACGCCCGGCAUUGGCUAUUUACCUCUUGCUUUGUCUUUAAGAGAGAGAAUCUAAACAACAAAAAAAAACAAAAACAUACUUUCAACAAAGACGCCAUCUGUCUUAGAAUAUUUCGACUAACGGAGUUAUUCAGGCUAUGUGUACACUAUGUACGCAAUUAUUCCAAAAACUUCAAAAAAAUUCACGGCGAAAAUUCCUCACGAAAAACUGCCACAUUCCAAAAUUUUUACACUACCACCACGUGUACGUGUAUUGUUUUCGCCGCCCUCGCCCUACAGAAGCAACAGCAGCGAGUAUAUGAUAUAUGAAUAUAAGAGCGAGAGGUUAAGAGCGAGUGAGAGUUGGUUGGAUAUUUUUGAAGGGGAAGCAGAUCACACUUAAACAAGUUGGAGAGUAGAUUGCGGCGAAUUUAUCUAUCACCUCCUUCUCAUUCCUCCCACCCAGCGAACCGGCGAAUUAGCGACCCAGCUGCCUGUUGUUGGGUCUUUCUUUUUUUUUUGAGAAGCAGCGUAGGGUUUUUGCUUUUUCUAAUGUUUUGAAAACACACAAAAAC